UAGGGAAGUCUUCGGCAAUGGGGGCGAACCCUGACCGAGCAACGCCGCGUGAGUGAAGAAGGUUUUCGGAUCGUAAAGCUCUGUUGUAAGAGAAGAACGUGUGUGAGAGUGGAAAGUUCACACAGUGACGGUAACUUACCAGAAAGGGACGGCUAACUACGUGCCA
rnacentral:rRNA from 1 species